GGUUAUGUGGAGGCAGUGAGUUAUCUCAACUGAUUGCUCAGUCAAUUACAGAUUCAACUCCUCCUUCUAUUCUUUCCCUACUUCUCAAUACUGUACUUUACUAGUCCUUA
rnacentral:Y_RNA from 1 species